rnacentral:rRNA from 1 species
GGCCGCGGGAAUUCGAUUCAGGCCUAACACAUGCAAGUCGAGCGAUGAAGCUUCUUCGGAAGCGGAUUAGCGGCGGACGGGUGAGUAACACGUGGGCAACCUGGCGUAUAGAGGGGAAUAGGCUUCCGAAAGGAAGAUUAAUACCCCAUAAGAUUGUAGCUUCACAUGGAGCAGCAAUUAAAGGAGUAAUCCGCUAUAGGAUGGGCCCGCGGCGCAUUGGGUAGUUGGUGAGGUAACGGCUCACCAAGGGGACGAGGCGUAGCCGACCUGAGAGGGUGAUCGGCCACAUUGGGACUGAGACGCGGGCCAGACUCCUACGGGAGGCAGCAGUGGGGAAUAUU